UUACGGCCACAUCACUUUGAAACAUUGGUUUCCAUACGAGCAACGAAGUUAAGCAUCGUCGAGCCUGGUCAGUACUUAGAUGGAUGACCGUUUGGGAAUACCAAAUGUUA